CCGCUUUCGGGCGGGGAUUAGUGGCGAACGGGUGAGUAACACGUGGGCAAUCUGCCCUGCACUCUGGGACAAGCCCUGGAAACGGGGUCUAAUACCGGAUACUCACUGCCUUGGGCAUCCAAGGUGGUGGAAAGCUCCGGCGGUGCAGGAUGAGCCCGCGGCCUAUCAGCUAGUUGGUGAGGUAAUGGCUCACCAAGGCGACGACGGGUAGCCGGCCUGAGAGGGCGACCGGCCACACUGGGACUGAGACACGGCCCAGACUCCUACGGGAGGCAGCAGUGGGGAAUAUUGCACAAUGGGCGAAAGCCUGAUGCAGCGACGCCGCGUGAGGGAUGACGGCCUUCGGGUUGUAAACCUCUUUCAGCAGGGAAGAAGCGAGAGUGACGGUACCUGCAGAAGAAGCGCCGGCUAACUACGUGCCAGCAGCCGCGGUAAUACGUAGGGCGCAAGCGUUGUCCGGAAUUAUUGGGCGUAAAGAGCUCGUAGGCGGCUUGUCGCGUCGGUUGUGAAAGCCCGGGGCUUAACCCCGGGUCUGCAGUCGAUACGGGCAGGCUAGAGUUCGGUAGGGGAGAUCGGAAUUCCUGGUGUAGCGGUGAAAUGCGCAGAUAUCAGGAGGAACACCGGUGGCGAANGCGGAUCUCUGGGCC
rnacentral:rRNA from 1 species